AACGUAGGAGACAACGUUAUCCGGAGUUACUGGGCGUAAAGGGCGUGUAGGCGGUUAGUUAAGUCUGGCGGUGAAAGCUCUCGGCUAAACCGGGAGAGGUCGUUGGAUACUGGCAAACUAGAGGACGGUAGAGGCGUGUGGAAUUCCGGGUGUAGUGGUGAAAUGCGUAGAUAUCAGGAGGAACACCGGUGGCGGAAGGCGGCUUUCUGGACAGAUACCGACGCUGAGGCACGAAAGCUAGGGGAGCAAACAGG
rnacentral:rRNA from 1 species